UUGGGCGCUUUUUCAAAUCCCGCCGAUUUACGGCUGAUUUGUUAUGACGUCGUUGUUAGUGUUUCUUCAAGUGAGCAAAGGUUAGUCGGAAGCUUCUCUUUGUCAUAGGUUUUUAUAAAAUUACGAGAGGACCGAAGAAUCAAAGAGUGGGAAAUUGUUUUAUAAAGAAGUAUCGAGUUACGUUUACUGUUAAAACAGUGGUUGUAAUUAUAAAAAUCGAGUGCAUUGUUUUUAAUUCGCCAUGUAAAGGUGGAUGAUCUCCAUUUUGGAUUCGCCAUUUUGUUUGAUAAAAGUUCAUUGACAGAAUUGCCGAAUCUCGAUUAUUAUUUUCACCCAAUAUAGAAUUUUAUAAAUUGUAAAUUUCCAAUAAUUCCAAUGGCUUUACCAGGACCAUCUCCAACCUCCAACUCUCGCCAGGGAACUCAUGGUUUAAAACAGAUUGAUUUGGACCAAAUUUGGGGUGACUUGAAAGAUGGCAUUGAGCAAGUUUAUACAAAUAAACACCAAAAUAUGUCAAAGACUAGAUAUAUGGAAUUAUAUACUCAUGUUUAUGAUUAUUGUACAAGUGUUCACCAGUCAGGACAACGAGCAACGGGAACAAAAGGAAAAAAGGGACAUCCUCCUGGUGGUGCUCAGUUUGUUGGUUUUGAGUUAUAUAAAAGGUUAAAGGACUUCUUGAAGAAUUAUUUACUCAAUUUACUAAAGGUAUGAGUACUUACAGUAUUUUUUUAUUUCAAUAAAAUAACCGUAAGGCAGGGGUGGGCAACCCAUGACCCUCAGGCUGCAUGCAGCCCACAUUGCAUAAAAUAUGAAUAACUAUAUCAA